rnacentral:rRNA from 1 species
GACGAACGCUGGCGGCGUGCUUAACACAUGCAAGUCGAACGGAAAGGCCCUGCUUUUGUGGGGUGCUCGAGUGGCGAACGGGUGAGUAACACGUGAGUAACCUGCCCUUGACUUUGGGAUAACUUCAGGAAACUGGGGCUAAUACCGGAUAGGAGCUCCUGCUGCAUGGUGGGGGUUGGAAAGUUUCGGCGGUUGGGGAUGGACUCGCGGCUUAUCAGCUUGUUGGUGGGGUAGUGGCUUACCAAGGCUUUGACGGGUAGCCGGCCUGAGAGGGUGACCGGCGACAUUGGGACUGAGAUACGGCCCAGACUCGUACGGGAGGCAGCAGUGGGGAAUAUUGCACAAUGGGCGGAAGCCGGAUGCAGCAACGCCGCGUGCGGGAUGACGGCCUUCGGGUUGUAAACCGCUUUCGCCUGUGACGAAGCGUGAGUGACGGUAAUGGGUAAAGAAGCACCGGCUAACUACGUG